rnacentral:rRNA from 1 species
UUGGAAGCAGCCAUUCAUUUAAAGAGUGCGUAACAGCUCACUAGUCGAGGAGUUUUGCAUGGAUAAUAAUCGGGCAUAAGCCCUUUACCGAAGCUGUGGAUGUCGUAAGACAUGGUAGGGGAGCAUUCCGGCGGCGACGAAGGCCGUCCUCGAGGACGACUGGAGCUUUCGGAAAAGCAAAUGUAGGUAUAAGUAACGAUAAAGGGGGCGUGAAACCCCCUCGCCAUAAGACUAAGGAUUCCUGAUCAACGCUAAUCGGAUCAGGGUAAGUCGGGCCCUAAGGCGCAGCCGAACGGCGUAGCCGAUGGAAGAAACGGUAAAGAUUCCGUUACUGGAUAUAGGAGCGAUGUGGAGACGGAGAAGUGACACACCCGCCUGCCGACGGAAGCGCAGGUUAAAGGAAGUAGGUAAACGCCGGGUAGGCAAAUCCGCCCAGCGUGCCGAAGCUGACAGUAUCGAGAGCCCCCGGGCAAUCGAAUAGCGGUGGUAAUCAGGCUCCCAAGAAAAUCCGCUAAGCAAAUUCUAUAUCCACCCGUACCCCAAACGGACACACGUAGUCGGGUAGAAUAUACCAAGGCGCUCGAAAGACUCACGGUUAAGGAACUAGGCAAAUUGACCCUGUAACCUCGGGAAAAAGGGUCCCCAGUAAGAUGGGGCGCAGAGAAUAGGUCCAGGCAACUGUUUAACAAAAACACAGGGCUGUGCAAAAUUGAAAGAUGAAGUAUACAGCCUGACACCUGCCCGGUGCUGGAAGGUUAAGAGGAGAUGUCAUCGCAAGAGAAGCAUUGAAUUGAAGCCCCAGUAAACGGCGGCCGUAACUAUAACGGUCCUAAGGUAGCGAAAUUCCUUGUCGGGUAAGUUCCGACCUGCACGAAUGGUGUAAUGAUCCGGACGCUGUCUCAACCAUGAGCUCAGUGAAAUUGUAGUAUCGGUGAAGAUGCCGAUUACCCGCGAUGGGACGAAAAGACCCCGUGAACCUUUACUAUAGCUUAACAUUGAAUUUGGGUAAUUGAUGUGUAGGAUAGGCCGGAGACUUUGAAGCAGGUACGCCAGUAUUUGUGGAGUCGCUGUUGAAAUACGGCCCUUUGAUUAUUUGAGUUCUAACUCGUAGAUGCGAGGACACUGUUUGGUGGGUAGUUUGACUGGGGUGGUCGCCUCCAAAAGUGUAACGGAGGCUUCUAAAGGUGCCCUCAGGACGAUUGGUAACCGUCCGUAGAGUGUAAUGGCAUAAGGGCGCUUGACUGGGAGACAGACAAGUCGAUCAGGUAGGAAACUAGAGCAUAGUGAUCCGGUGUUUCCGCAUGGAAGGGACAUCGCUCAAAGGAUAAAAGGUACUCCGGGGAUAACAGGCUGAUC